GGGUUGUGAGGUUAAGCGAAUAAGCGUACACGGUGGAUGCCCUGGCAGUCAGAGGCGAUGAAGGACGUGCUAAUCUGCGAAAAGCGUCGGUAAGGUGAUAUGAACCGUUAUAGCCGACGAUAUCCGAAUGGGGAAACCCAGUGUGUUUUGACACACUAUCGCAACAUGAAUACAUAGUGUUGCGAGGCGAACCGAGGGAACUGAAACAUCUAAGUACCUCGAGGAAAAGAAAUCAACCGAGAUUCCCCUAGUAGCGGCGAGCGAACGGGGAGGAGCCCAGAGUCUGCAUCAGUCAGUGUGUUAAUGGAACGGUCUGGAAAGUCCGGCGAUACAGGGUGAUAGCCCCGUACAUGAAAAUGCACUGAUUGUGAGCUCGAAGAGUAGGGCGGGACACGUGGUAUCCUGUCUGAAUAUGGGGGGACCAUCCUCCAAGGCUAAAUACUCCUGACUGACCGAUAGUGAACCAGUACCGUGAGGGAAAGGCGAAAAGAACCCCGGCGAGGGGAGUGAAAUAGAACCUGAAACCGUGUACGUACAAGCAGUGGGAGCACGCCUUGAGCGUGUGACUGCGUACCUUUUGUAUAAUGGGUCAGCGACUUAUAUUUUGUAGCAAGGUUAACCGAAUAGGGGAGCCGCAGGGAAACCGAGUCUUAACUGGGCGUUAAGUUGCAAGGUAUAGACCCGAAACCCGGUGAUCUAGCCAUGGGCAGGUUGAAGGUUGGGUAACACUAACUGGAGGACCGAACCGACUAAUGUUGAAAAAUUAGCGGAUGACUUGUGGCUGGGGGUGAAAGGCCAAUCAAACCGGGAGAUAGCUGGUUCUCCCCGAAAGCUAUUUAGGUAGCGCCUCGUGAACUCAUCUUCGGGGGUAGAGCACUGUUUCGGCUAGGGGGCCAUCCCGGCUUACCAACCCGAUGCAAACUACGAAUACCGAAGAAUGUUAUCACGGGAGACACACGGCGGGUGCUAACGUCCGUCGUGAAGAGGGAAACAACCCAGACCGCCAGCUAAGGUCCCAAAGUCAUAGUUAAGUGGGAAACGAUGUGGGAAGGCUCAGACAGCCAGGAUGUUGGCUUAGAAGCAGCCAUCAUUUAAAGAAAGCGUAAUAGCUCACUGGUCGAGUCGGCCUGCGCGGAAGAUGUAACGGGGCUAAACUAUGCACCGAAGCUGCGGCAGCAAUACUGUGUAUUGUUGGGUAGGGGAGCGUUCUGUAAGCCGUCGAAGGUGGACUGUGAGGUCUGCUGGAGGUAUCAGAAGUGCGAAUGCUGACAUGAGUAACGAUAAAGCGGGUGAAAAACCCGCUCGCCGGAAGAUCAAGGUUUCCUGUCCAACGUUAAUCGGGGCAGGGUAAGUCGACCCCUAAGGCGAGGCUGAAAAGCGUAGUCGAUGGGAAACAGGUUAAUAUUCCUGUACUUGGUGUUACUGCGAAGGGGGGACGGAGAAGGCUAGGUUAUCCGGGCGACGGUUGUCCCGGUUUAAGCGAGUAGGCUGAU
rnacentral:rRNA from 1 species